GUGAAUCCUGCAAUGGAGUGACCUCGGCUUUCCGGGACUGUGAUGUUCCAGGAGACCUACUGGCAAACAACUGAGAACUACAGGAGCUCUUAAGUUCGAAGAGAUUGAUGGCUACAACUCUCUUUCUGGAUGCCACCAGAUCAUUCCAGCUACCUGCCAUUGUGUCAUCUCCAGACAAAAGCUGACCAUGAUAGAAGCUUCAAAGACCUAAGGCUACAGAGAGAAGAAUGUCCCUGACAAAGAGUCCUUUCUUGCACCCUGGAUGUCCCAGCUUCCUCCGGAAGAGUCGGGGUAGAAGAAGCCAGCAGAUCUUCAAAAG